AUGACGGUUCGAUGUGCCACCAGCCUGGGGAGCCUGAAGUUUUCCUAAGGCACAAGACCACAGGUACUGAGGAAGCAGUCAGGAAGCAUCAUCCCAGAAAACCCUCUUAAACAGAGCAAGACGCAGAGCUGGCAUUUCUCUCCUCUCCCAAGAUCACCAGAUGCGUUUGUUGGUGUUGAUGGACUAGCCAGUAUCACCUGGCACUGAUGCAGAGCUGGAAAGAGAAGGGGACCCGGCACGGCUGUUGAGCUAAUGGCAGCACACCAGCUGACUCCAGAUUUUUUACACCACCACCCCUGCUGCAACUGGCAGGGGACUAACAACAGUAGGAGCCCAGGGAGAGGCAGGUUUGGGGAAGAGCCAUAACUGUCACGGUAGCAGGGCCAUGGUGUAUGUGAAAUACCAUGCAGGUAAAAACAGAGCAACCACCACCACUGUAAACACCCGACUGCGCAAGACUGGUGAUGUGGGAGCCUCACAGCAGCACAGGGGGCAAAAUGAAAGGGCUCCCUGGUGAAACUGGAGAUUGUCAAAGAGGCCGAUGUUCAGCUGGAUGGUGGGAUCAAUGCAGGAGCUCUUGAGAAAUGUGUGCUGCGACCUCUGACAUUCCAUCCCUUAUCAGGAUUGGGUCAGUGUCUUUAGCAGCACUGUUGUGUGGUGGCACCGGGCAGUUUUGGUAAUAGUAUGUUUUACUCCAGUGACCUCAUUUUUGUCAAAUGUCUUGUCUUGGACCUUUUGCUGUUGCUAAUGUGUGUGCUGAGAACAAUGCUGCAAUGCUAAGAAGAUGCCAAUUAGAAAAUCAGUGAGGUCGUUUCA